CCUACGGGGGGCAGCAGUGAGGAAUAUUGGUCAAUGGACGAGAGUCUGAACCAGCCAAGUAGCGUGAAGGAUGACUGCCCUAUGGGUUGUAAACUUCUUUUAUAUGGGAAUAAAAUGUUCCACGUGUGGGAUUUUGUAUGUACCAUAUGAAUAAGGAUCGGCUAACUCCGUGCCAGCAGCCGCGGUAAUACGGAGGAUCCGAGCGUUAUCCGGAUUUAUUGGGUUUAAAGGGAGCGUAGGUGGAUUGUUAAGUCAGUUGUGAAAGUUUGCGGCUCAACCGUAAAAUUGCAGUUGAAACUGGCAGUCUGGAGUACAGUAGAGGUGGGCGGAAUUCGUGGUGUAGCGGUGAAAUGCUUAGAUAUCACGAAGAACUCCGAUUGCGAAGGCAGCUCACUGGACUGCAACGGACACUGAGGCUCGAAAGUGUGGGUAUCAAACAGGAUUAGAUACCCCAGUAGUC
rnacentral:rRNA from 1 species